rnacentral:rRNA from 1 species
CCUACGGGUGGCAGCAGUGAGGAAUAUUGGUCAAUGGACGUAAGUCUGAACCAGCCAAGUCGCGUGCAGGAUGAAGGCGCUAUGCGUUGUAAACUGCUUUUAUACGGGGGUAAUUUCAGACACGUGUAUCUGUUUGUAAGUACCGUAUGAAUAAGGAUCGGCUAACUCCGUGCCAGCAGCCGCGGUAAUACGGAGGAUCCGAGCGUUAUCCGGAUUUAUUGGGUUUAAAGGGAGCGUAGGCGGCUUGUUAAGUGAGAUGUGAAAUGGCGAGGCUCAACCGUGAAACUGCGUCUGAUACUGGCUGACUAGAGUGUAGUAGAGGUAGGCGGAAUUUGUGGUGUAGCGGUGAAAUGCUUAGAUAUCACGCAGAACACCGAUUGCGAAGGCAGCUUUC